rnacentral:rRNA from 1 species
AGAUGGCGACCGGCGCACGGGUGAGUAACACGUAUCCAACCUGCCGAUAACCCGGGGAUAGCCUUUCGAAAGAAAGAUUAAUACCCGAUGGUAUAAUCAGACCGCAUGGUUUGAUUAUUAAAGAAUUUCGGUUAUCGAUGGGGAUGCGUUCCAUUAGGCAGUUGGUGAGGUAACGGCUCACCAAACCUUCGAUGGAUAGGGGUUCUGAGAGGAAGGUCCCCCACAUUGGAACUGAGACACGGUCCAA